ACUGCAGUUCAAGUCCAUGUGUUCAUGGCAAAUGUAUCAAUAUGUUGAAUGUCUUCGUUUGUGUAUGUUCUACUGGAUAUACAGGGAAAACAUGCACACAAGCACUGACUACUACACACGCAGCAUUAACGACUGGAGCUGGACCAUUGUUGCCCUUAAGACCUAAUGCACAACCAC